UGUUCACGGGGUGCUCCUGCGAAGUGAGCUGAGAAUUGGUUGUAGGCAACCAGUAACCCUUGGAACCUGAUCUGGGUCGUGCCGGCGUAGGGAGA
rnacentral:ncRNA from 1 species